rnacentral:rRNA from 1 species
CCUACGGGUGGCAGCGACUGCGGCGACAUCCACGGCCUCGCCUGGGAGACAUUCGAGGCAGCCACUGAGACGGCCAAGGGCCUCAAGCUUUAUGGCUAUGGCCAGGACCUGCUGGCGGACGCCUUCUCCGGAAACAUCAAGGGCAUGGGUCCAGGGGUUGCGGAGAUGGAGAUAACCGAGCGCACGGCAGAGCCCAUCAUCGCUUUUAUGAUGGACAAGACCGAGCCCGGAGCCUUCAAUCUCCCCAUCUUCAAGAUGUUUGCCGAUCCAUUCAACCCCGCCGGGCUGAUAAUAGUUCCCUCCUUCCAUCACGGCUUCACUUUUGAGGUCUGGGAUAUCCUAGAGCACAAGAAGGUCCUCAUGAACUGCCCGGAGGAGAUGUACGAUAUGCUGGCGCUGAUCGGUGCCAAGAGCCGAUAUGUGAUCAAGAGAGUCUUUGCCAAGCCCGGCAGCAAGAUACCCGUGUAGUC